CCUACGGGCGGCAGCAGUGGGGAAUAUUGGACAAUGGGGGCAACCCUGAUCCAGCCAUGCCGCGUGUGUGAAGAAGGCCCUCGGGUUGUAAAGCACUUUCAGUGAGGAAGAACGCCUGGUGGUUAAUACCCAUCAGGAAAGACAUCACUCACAGAAGAAGCACCGGCUAACUCCGUGCCAGCAGCCGCGGUAAUACGGAGGGUGCGAGCGUUAAUCGGAAUUACUGGGCGUAAAGCGCGCGUAGGUGGCUUGAUAAGCCGGUUGUGAAAGCCCCGGGCUCAACCUGGGAACGGCAUCCGGAACUGUCAAGCUAGAGUGCAGGAGAGGAAGGUAGAAUUCCCGGUGGAGCGGUGAAAUGCGUAGAGAUCGGGAGGAAGACCAGUGGCGAAGGCGGCCUUCUGGACUGACACUGACACUGAGGUGCGAAAGCGUGGGUAGCAAACAGGAUUAGAUACCCUUGUAGUC
rnacentral:rRNA from 1 species